rnacentral:snRNA from 14 species
AGGAUAACAAAGGGGGUUUUGCCAGGGUGGGGCUGACCCAUUGCACUCUGGGUGCACUCACCCCUGCGAUUUCCCUAGGGUGGGAAACACGGCCGCAUCGUUUGUGGUAGCGGGGGACGGUGGGCACGCUUUCCCCUG